CUCUUUUGAACAACUUCUGUCAAAAGGGAGCUGCUAUCAUACAUGAUUCCAUUAUAUCUUCUUAUAUGAGCUUCCCACAAGCAAAGUCAAUCGGGAAGACAGCAAGGAAGAUGACAAGAUGAAGUUUAACAAAUGGAUCGUUAGAGAUGCAGUCAUUGGUAUACAGAAAAAAGUGGGGAGAGCACACAGCCUUGGAGGAGCCCUGUGCUAAUUGUACAGUUGAUAAAAUGAGGACUCACAUUGUUGUGGACAAUAUGCUGAUAUUUGUAAACCGCUCAGAGAGUGCUGUAAAGCACUAUGGACCAGUAUGUUCUCACAGUUUCCGGAUACUGAGAUGAAACACUGACAGUAUCGCUUGGAUGACCAGGAGUCGAGAUGUAUCAUAUUGAUGAUUCCUAAACCCAAGUUACUGGGUGAACUUUCAAGUUUCAUGUAGAUGUUCAAUAGGAAAGUAUCAAAUUCUGUAAAAUUACUAUAAAGUAAGGGCAUAGGGUUAGAUCCACAACAAUAUU